AUACGUAGGGGGCAAGCGUUAUCCGGAUUUACUGGGUGUAAAGGGAGCGUAGACGGCACUGCAAGUCUGGAGUGAAAACCCGGGGCUCAACCCCGGGACUGCUUUGGAAACUGUGGUGCUAGAGUGCAGGAGAGGUAAGUGGAAUUCCUAGUAAAGUAGCGGUGAAAUGCGUAGAUAUUAGGAGGAACACCAGUGGCGAAGGCGGCUUACUGGACUGUAACUGACGUUGAGGCUCGAAAGCGUGGGGAGC
rnacentral:rRNA from 1 species